GUGAACGCUGGCGGGAGGCCUAACACCUGCCAGUCGAACGGCAGCACAGUAAGAGCUUGCUCUUACGGGUGGCGAGUGGCGGACGGGUGAGGAAUACAUCGGAAUCUACUUUUUCGUGGGGGAUAACGUAGGGAAACUUACGCUAAUACCGCAUACGACCUACGGGUGAAAGCAGGGGAUCUUCGGACCUUGCGCGAUUGAAUGAGCCGAUGUCGGAUUAGCUAGUUGGCGGGGUAAAGGCCCACCAAGGCGACGAUCCGUAGCUGGUCUGAGAGGAUGAUCAGCCACACUGGAACUGAGACACGGUCCAGACUCCUACGGGAGGCAGCAGUGGGGAAUAUUGGACAAUGGGCGCAAGCCUGAUCCAGCCAUACCGCGUGGGUGAAGAAGGCCUUCGGGUUGUAAAGCCCUUUUGUUGGGAAAGAAAAGCAGCAGGUUAAUACCCCGCUGUUCUGACGGUACCCAAAGAAUAAGCACCGGCUAACUUCGUG
rnacentral:rRNA from 1 species